rnacentral:rRNA from 1 species
GUGUCAGCAGCCGCGGUAAUACAGAGGGUGCGAGCGUUGUCCGGAAUCACUGGGCGUAAAGGGCGCGUAGGCGGUGGCCUAAGCGUGCGGUGAAAGCCCGGGGCUCAACCCCGGGUCGGCCGUGCGAACUGGGUCACUCGAGCACACUAGAGGCGAGUGGAAUUCCGGGUGUAGCGGUGGAAUGCGUAGAGAUCCGGAAGAACACCAGUGGCGAAGGCGGCUCGCUGGGGUGUAGCUGACGCUGAGGCGCGACAGCGUGGGGAGCAAACAGGAUUAGAUACCCUGGUAGUCCACGCCGUAAACGAUGGGCACUAGGUGCUUGCGGGAGCGACCCCGUGAGUGCCGUCGCUAACGCAUUAAGUGCCCCGCCUGGGGAGUACGGCCGCAAGGCUGAA